UAAUACCAGCGGUCCAAGUGGCGACCCCUUUUAUUGGGCCUAAAGCGUUCGUAGCUCGCCAAAAAAGUUCCUUGUUAAAUUUUGUCUCUUAAGGACAAAGCUGGCAAGGAAUACUAAUUGGCUAGAGACCGGGAGGAGUAGCAAGUACGAUGAGAGUAGUAGUAAAAUACUUUAAUCCUCGUCGGACUAACAAUCGCGAAGGCAUGCUACUAGAACGGAUCUGACGGUGAGGAACGAAGGCCAGGGGCGCAAAACGGAUUAGAUACCCGUGUAGUCCUGGCUGUAAACGCUGCUUACUAAACAUUGUUCUCUCCUUGAGAGAGAGCGGUGCUGAAGCGAAGGCGUUAAGUAAGCUGCCUGGGAAGUAUAGCCACAAGGCCG
rnacentral:rRNA from 1 species